GAUGAAGAACGUAGCGAAAUGCGAUAAGUAAUGCGAAUUGCAGAAUUUCCGUGAGUCAUCGAAUCUUUGAACGCACAUUGCGCCCGCCAGUAUUCUGGCGGGCAUGCCUGUUCGAGCGUCAUUACAACCCUCAGGCCCCCGGGCCUGGCGUUGGGGAUCGGCGGAGCCCCCCGUGGGCACACGCCGUCCCCCAAAUACAGUGGCGGUCCCGCCGCAGCUUCCAUCGCGUAGUAGCUAACACCUCGCGACUGGAGAGCGGCGCGGCCACGCCGUAAAACACCCAACUCUUCUGAAGUUGACCUCGAAUCAGGUAGGAAUACCCGCUGAACUUAAGCAUAUCAAUAAGCGGAGGA
rnacentral:misc_RNA from 1 species